rnacentral:rRNA from 1 species
UUUUAUGAGAGUUUGAUCCUGGCUCAGGACGAACGCUGGCGGCGUGCCUAAUACAUGCAAGUCGAACGCUUCUUUUUCCACCGGAGCUUGCUCCACCGGAAAAAGAGGAGUGGCGAACGGGUGAGUAACACGUGGGUAACCUGCCCAUCAGAAGGGGAUAACACUUGGAAACAGGUGCUAAUACCGUAUAACAAUCAAAACCGCAUGGUUUUGAUUUGAAAGGCGCUUUCGGGUGUCGCUGAUGGAUGGACCCGCGGUGCAUUAGCUAGUUGGUGAGGUAACGGCUCACCAAGGCCACGAUGCAUAGCCGACCUGAGAGGGUGAUCGGCCACAUUGGGACUGAGACACGGCCCAAACUCCUACGG